rnacentral:lncRNA from 1 species
UAUCUCCCUUUCCCUUUUUCUCUCUGUCCCUCCCUCCUUCUUCCUCUCUAUUCUUCCCCUCCCCUUGUUUUUAUGCCUGAUUAUGUGGACACAGACAAGGAUUAAAACAGGGCACCUGCCCUUGAGGAGUUUACAAUCUGCUGGGCUGAGGAUCAACACAUGUUCAAAAAGAGAGGAAAGAAGUCAAGGGAGAUCAUGCCAGAUGGACUUAAUUUCAAUGAAGAACAGGGUCUUCCUGCCUGUAAGAAGGAGGCACUCUCUGCUUCUGUCAUGUGCUAAGCUUCGUCAAACAGAUUAUCUCUCUAAAGGUAGAGGCCUGUGAUUGACCGCUGUACCAAUGACUGAGCAGACAUAAAAGUCAGCCUGGAUGGCUACCACCACUAAUCAGAUUUGUCUGCUGAUGCAAGGCCCUUCAGUCAUUCCAGAACUGGUAAAUGGAGUCACCCUGAGGACAGGCCCUGCUGCUGAUUGAUGUCCAGUGUGGGCAGCUCUCUUGGCUGCUCAACAUUCAGAGAGGCUCUCCUUGUUUCAGUGCUAAAUGAUUGACAGUCAGGGUGAGUAUUUCAGGAGGAAGAGUCCCCCGCCCACUCCAGCCAUGUGGCAAAGGUAUUUGCUUCCUUGGGAAGGAAGUGAUUUAUCUGUGGGAGAACACUGUUUGGGCAAAGUUGCGUAGGAACAGCGUCUGUCUCUGCAAGCAUGUGUGUAUGUGAGUGUGGGCAUAAAGCAGCAAGAGUGGAAGGUAAAGACAACGUGAACGUCAUAAAAGAACACUUCUUUUUACAAAUGCUUGAAAACAUUCGAUGCUGAAAGACUUCAGACCACAUAAAUGAAUUUGCACCUAAUUCAACAUAGCUAUACUUCUUUCUUUUUCAGAAUUAAUGAGCCUGCCUUAUCAUUAGUUUUAUCAUAGAAACUAUCACAGAGAAGAAACCAUCUUAGAGAGAAAUCGGUGGAAGACAAGAUGAAAAAGGAAAAAUAAAAAAGACUGGAGGCAGGGGAACAUGGAGAAUGCAAGUGUGUUUGCAUUUGCACCAAGUUUGAGUUGAAAGGCUUUAUAAGGAUUUUGAGCAGCUGUAUAAGUAGUUAGAGCUAGAUAUGUGUAUAUGUGUUGCCAUUAACCAAGUUACUUCAACAUUAGCCUUAUGAUUAUAUGCCCUAGCAUUCAGAUUCAAGGAAGAAACAGUUUCUCUGGAGAAUUUUGUUCCUUAGUGACUGAUUUCAGUUGAUUUCAAGGUAAGCCAGGUAUGUAACUAACUUUUUAAAUUUAGAUGAAUAUAAGUUUAUGUUAUUAAUGAUUAUUUGUUUAUUCAUAAAAUUGACACUGACAUGUUACUAAAAUACAAGAAUCUCAAUUUUAUAUUGAAGAAAUUAAUUCAUUAGGUCAAACACAUAAAAAUUCUGAAGUGAAAAUGAUUCAUGUGUCAAGUGGUCAUAAUGUAAGACCCCAGUAAAUAUUCCACAGUAGGUUGAGCUAAUGGCAGUUGCUUCUCAGUACACAUUCAAACAUAUUUUCUCACAAUCUAGAGAGUUCAUCUACACUGGGCAGAAAGGGCUAGAUUGAUUAGCAACCAAAGGCCUGAGCUCCAUCGCUGGUUGCAUAACAAUAGCUGUGUGACCUUUGAUAAGGUGCUUAGCCUCUCUAUGCCACUGCUUUCUCACCUGUCAUGUAAGUGUAACAAUGUCUUUCUCACCUGUCUCAUAUUAUUGCUAUGCAGAAGAAAUGAGAUUUCAUUCUGGAAGUUCUUUAAGCCCCUGAACAAAAUGCAAGUUUUUAUGGAUCCACACACACAUACACUAUUCAUGAUCAUGAAUACAUAAUGUACUCUGUUUUGAAUAUGCUGUAGGUGUUUUGUGCUUUGAAUGCUUGUGCCUGGAGAUCCCAGCCCAUAACAGCACACAAUAGGUGUCCCCUGUGGGGGUAACCCACAGAGUAUAACUCCCAGAGUAUAACCCAGGUGAUAUUCUGCCACACCUGUGCUCUGACAGAUGGUGGUGUGGAGAGAGAAAUUUGCCACAUCAACACAUGCCAAGGUAAGGAGAACAGAGCCACGUAAUAGCAACACCAAAGCCUGUCUGUCCAUUAAGCCAAGUCAAAUGCCACUUUCUUCACAUAGCUUUCUGGGGCUUCUUUCUCCUCCUGAAGGAAUUAAUUUCUUCUGAAUCUGUGUACUUGUUUCACUCUGUCGAUGUGGCCUUGAACUUUCCGUACCCAUGCCAACCCCAACAGCAUUCAGCUGGCACCCAAUAAAUAGGAUUCCAGCUCUCUUAGAGUCUGCAGCCUCAGUUCUGAAAUUCUGGCCUGACCCUGAGUCAUUCCUCAGAUUAGAUUUCACCCUAUUUGUAUUCUCCUGCCUUGCAACUUCCAGCCAAGUCAAUACAUAGUUACCAAGCACUUGCUAUUUGCUAGGAGUGUGCUAAAUUAUGGGGUACGGUAAUGGACAAUAAUUCAUGUCUUUUGCUCUCUUGAAGAUUAGAACCUAAUGAGGCUAUAAACAAUUAAACAAUUUCAAUCUUCAAACUAAGGAAUUUAUAGGGAAAUUUUCAAAAAGGGUCCAGUAUGAGAUAUAUGAGAUCUAUGGGCUGAGAAGGUGUUAAUUAGGUGAAAGUCUGUUUAGAAAGGCAGAAUGUUCCAAGUAAUACAUCUAGGCAACAAAGGAGAACCUGUUACAUUUAAGAAAUGGAAAGACACUCGGUUUGGACAAAGCUAAGUACUAAGCAAAAGCCAACUUCUUUACCUAUUUCUCUACUUCCAGCUUCACCUUAUAUUUGGUACCUUCAUACUUAAUGUUGGGCUCUGUAACUCCCUCCUGUACAGCCUCUUAAUCACCUCCCCAGUUUGGUCAACACCAAGAUCCCAGUUCCUUUUGAUCCCCAAACGGACUAAUUUCCUCUUGCCUUAUAAAUGGAAACUGAUCUGUCUCAAUGUUUUUUUUUUUAACAUGUAAUUUGCAUCACAAUGAUCCAAUUUGAGGGCACAUAUUAUUUUUCUUAUCAGACUGCCAAGGAACAGAUGAUCUUUGUAUUUCCUCCCAAGUACCUAGAAUAGUGCCUAACAAUACAUUUGUAUUUUCCUAUAACAAAUUUCUAUCAUGUCACUUUCUGGUUUAAAAUCCUUCAGUGACUCUGCAGUACAUUUUAGGACAAAACCCUAUUCCAAAAUACAGGCCACAAGUCCCUCAUGUUCCAGCCCCAUUAGCCUGCCAGCCUCACCAAAGGCAGAAGCCCUUUGCCCUCCUCACUUCCCCUUCCACUUACAGGAAGCACUCAACUUCUCAAGGCUUCUUGCUCCUUCCUGCCUUUGAGCUCCCUCACAUGCCAUUCUUUCUGCUUGCCCCACCCAGCCCCACCCAGCCAGACUCAGCCCUUCACUGUGGCUCAUCUUGGAGGUCUCAGGUUACAUAUCACUUCACAGGAAGGCUUUCCCCAAUACUCACUUAGUUGCUACUGCUACAAUAUGGCACUUAUUAUGCUUUACUGAAAUUACUUGUUGAAAUGUUUAUCUCUCCUGCUGAGGGUAUCUCAGCCUUGGUAUGAUUGACAUUUUGGACCAAAUCAUUCUUUGUGGCGGGGGCUGUCUUGUACAUGGUAGGUUGUUUAGCAGCAUCCCUGGCCUCUACCCGCUAGAUGCCAGUAGCACCUUCCCCAGUUAUGACAGCCAAGAAUGUCUGCAGACGUUGCUAAAUGUCUCCUGGGGGGGCAGUCACAUCCAUUUGAGAGUGACUGUGCCAGAUCAUUGAGAAGGUAAGGACUGUGUCUUGAAUAAGUAGUGAAUACCACUGUAUCACAACCUGGCAUUUAGUGGAAGGCUACUGAUCAUGUGUUGCAUGAAUGAAUAGAAGUUUUUACUAUAAGCUCCUACUGAAUGAAUGAAUAUUAGUAAGAAAACUGUGUCAGAAACACUGGUAGUUCAGAACCCUGCAUUUUUAUUUAAUGAAGGGUGGAACCUGCAAGAACAUGGUGGUCUCUUACUUUGGAACCUGUCUCCUCCUUGCCUGUUAAUCGGUCCUGGUCCUCUAUUCCCCCCACCCCCAAACAUACCUCUUUGGGCUGCCCUGUCCACCCAUCUCCCCUCUACCAAGCAGAAAAAAAAGGUUCCAGCUCCCUGAGCUUUCUUCUUCAAAGACAUUUAAGCUUUUAAUGCGAAUCCUGAUUAAUUAACAAGGGCACGGGACUUACAUGCAUUUCAAGUUGCUUUUAUCUCGUGAAGAAAAGAAGCCUUUUGGCAGAUACUUUCUGUUCAAUGUCUAGUUCAGUAUUUCAAAGGGCAAGCUGUGAUGGGCUGAGCGGGUUACCAUUUGUGUGUGUGUGAAGGGCAAUGACUAGUAAUUAAGGGACAGACCCCUUUAUGUCAACUUAAGAAAAAAAAUUAAUCUCAGCUUCAUUUCAAGCUGGGUUUGGUGUUGAAGGGCAGAAGCAAAAUAGAAAGGGGGUACACUGUAUGGUAAUGGCUGGAUCUCUUUGGCUUUGAAUGAAAAAGCUAAUAUUUGUUGAGAACCUACUGUAUACUAUAUCAGAUCCCCCCAGAACCCUGUGGAAGAGUCAAUAUAAUUUAAUUUUACAAAAACAAAGUUUGGGAGGCAUCAAGUUAUUUGUCCAAAAUACAACAAAUAGUCCAGCCAUAUUCAGAAUAUGGUAGAUCUGAAUACAUUCUUUCAUCCAAAACUUCCGGCUUAGUCAAUUGUCUGCUGCUAUAAUAGAUACCACAGACUGGGAAAUUUAUGAAGAAAAGAAAUUUAUUUGGCUUAUGGUUCUGGAGGAUGGACAGUCCAAGGUCAUGACACUUGGAUCUGUUCGGCCAUCUGGUGAAGACCUUGUUGCAUUCUCCCAUGGUGGAAAGAAGAAAGCAAGUGAGUACAAGAGAUAGAGAAAGAUAAGGGCAGAACUUACUCUCUUAUCAGGAGUCCGCUUCUAUAACCCAUUCUAAAAAUAAAGCAUUAAUCCAUUCAUGAGGGUAGAGCCCUCAUAACCUAUCACCUCUAAAGAUCCCACUUCUUAAUACUGUCACAAUGGCAAUUAAAUUUUAACGUGAGUGUUGUAGGGAACAUUCAAACAACAGCAACUACAACAACAACAGACGUCAGCUCCUGUGUGUCUUCCCUUGCUCAUCUAUGCCUACCAGAAUAGAAUGAAAGAAGGGUUUAUUUGAUCCUGUGUUCAAGUCAUUCAUUUAUUCCACUAGGCAAUCUGUCAAGAUCUCAUAGAUUAAGGGCUCCUACAGCAACCUGUACUCACCCUAUUUUACCCUUUAUCAUACAUUUUUGAUCAUGCAUGUGAUGGCUGGAACUCAGUCAUUUUGGACCAUGAAGACCAGACCCACACGCUGGGGCCUAAGAAGCAGAAGUAUGAAAGCCACCUGGAUCCCUGAAGACCAUGGAAUUGUUAGAACAAUUCUACUCUAUCUGUAGACUUGUUUUAUUUGAAAGAUAAGUAGAUUUCUGUCUUAUUCAAUUCACUGAUUUUGGUUCUUUGUUAUUUGCAAUCAAAUCUAAUUCCAGUAGAUACAACUCCUAAGUGCAGAGCACUGUUCUAGGGAUUGUGGGGCAUGCUGACAUGGGUCUCAUGCCUGCAUAGCACUCAUAGCCUGCAGAAGAACAGCAGUGCUGCCAUAUCUGAUGGUCAUUUGACACACUGAACUCCAGCCAUAUCAAUUUUCUUUUCAGUCCCCAAAUGGCAGUCACCACAAAAGAAGAAAAGAUAAAGCUCUUAGUGGGAUCUGAAUCAAGAGAUACCACUUACAGUGGAAGGAAAAAAGAUCAUUUUCAUGGAGGAACUGCCCUUGAAUUUCGCCUUGAAUAUUGAUGAGUAUUGGAAUCUGCAGAGACUGGGAUAAGGUUGGGAUGAGGUCGAACACUACAGGAACAGAAAAUAUGGAACAUGUUUGGGAGCAGGCCAGGGAUUCUGUCAUAUAAAGUGCAUGAAAAAGCAUAUCAUGUAAUAUUUAUGAUUAUUGCUCUGGAGUUAGACUGUUUGGGUUUGAAUCCCAGAUCCAGUGUUUACUAUCUAUGUGACCUCGGCUGAGUCAUGAACUUCCAUGAGCUCCAUUCUUCUCACCUUUAAAAUGAAGAUCACAACUCCUACCUUCUUGGCUUGUUACCAGAAUUAAAUGAGUUUUUAUGUGUGGAGGGCUCAUGAGAGUGGCUGUCCCAAAUAAGCAUUCUCUAAAUGUUAGAUAUGACUGUCAUCCCCUUAAAACUGCAAGAGUUAGUUGAAACCAUAGCAAGCCGAGCCAUGAAUGCCAUGUUAAUGCAUGUUAAUGCCAUUAUUAUAAAGGUACCAAAAAGCUGCUGACAGUUUGUGAGCAAAGUUGUGGAUGACAUUAUCAGAGCUGUAUUUUAGGAAGUCUUAAUAUGUCAA